UCUGUCGCUUAGGCUGGAGUGCAGCGGUAUGACCACAGCUCACGGCUGCUUUGACCUCCCUGGGCUCAAGUGAUCCUUCCACCUCAGCCUUCUGAGUAGCUGGGACUACAGGUGAAAUGGCCCUUUCAAACCAGCUGUAGGUGCUGAUGCUGUCCUGCGGAGAAGCUUCUCUCUUCCUCUUCAGCACUCCCUGCUGGCGUGGAUCUGGUCAGCCCUUUGGCCAUGAAUAAGGUGACCUCUCCACAAAUAUCCAGCUGGAUUUUAGGCUC
rnacentral:lncRNA from 1 species